AUAAAAAAAAUGUCUACAGAGAAAGAGUACACAGCGAAGCGAUGAUAAGAUAUGGGAUUCAUCUUGCCGAUGAAGGAAGGUAAUAGUUGGAGGAAGUGGAAGAGGAACAAUUCGGCCUAAUACAGAGGUGUAAUCCGAUUCGGUUCAGAUCAAGCAAAAAAGAGAAAAUUAUAUGGAGCAGCUUAACCAGCUCAAGAAGCCCAAACUCAACAAUGAUUGAUUUUGUUCAAGUAAAGAAAGAAAAAAAAAAAAUUUCAGAUCAGUCCAUGCAAAGAAAAAAAUAUAUAUAUGAAAAACUUGAGCCGGUUCGGAAUAGAAUCCACACUCAAUAAUGAAGAGAAUGUUGCCGUAUGAAAAAUUUAGAGAGAAUAAUAUACAGGUAUAAAGAUAUGAUACCUAUUGUUUGAUAGUUAAUUAUAUUGAGAAAAAAUGUAUAAAAUUUAUCAUAGGUAUCACCUUUUUUUUUUAAUCUGACUAUCGCAUCUUUUAAAAAUUUUAAUUUUGCUACCUGAUCUUUUAAUUUAUUUGAUUUGAGCCAAUUAAAAAAAUUUUAACUUAAAAAUUUGCAUGUAUCGUUUAUUUUAUGAAUUUAAUUUGUAUAUUUUAUACAAUUUGCGUAACUAUAAAUUUAUUAAAGUGAACAAUUAGCUUAUAUUUUUCAUCCUAGGAGCCAUCAAAUUACUUAAAUCAAAUGAGUUGAAAGUUUGAAUAGCAAAAUUAAAAUUUUGACAUGCAGUCGAAUCAAAAUUGUCCAUGUUUCAAAUAAAUUUUUACAUUUUUUACUUUAAUAUAUUUUAAAAACAAAAUUUAAUUUAAUAGAUAUUACAU
rnacentral:lncRNA from 1 species